UCCUACGGGAGGCAGCAGUAGGGAAUCUUCCGCAAUGGACGAAAGUCUGACGGAGCAACGCCGCGUGAGUGAUGAAGGCUUUCGGGUCGUAAAACUCUGCUGUUAGGGAAGAACAAGUGCUAGUUGAAUAAGCUGGCACCUUGACGGUACCUAACCAGAAAGCCACGGCUAACUACGUGCCAGCAGCCGCGGUAAUACGUAGGUGGCAAGCGUUAUCCGGAAUUAUUGGGCGUAAAGCGCGCGCAGGUGGUUUCUUAAGUCUGAUGUGAAAGCCCACGGCUCAACCGUGGAGGGUCAUUGGAAACUGGGAGACUUGAGUGCAGAAGAGGAAAGUGGAAUUCCAUGUGUAGCGGUGAAAUGCGUAGAGAUAUGGAGGAACACCAGUGGCGAAGGCGACUUUCUGGUCUGUAACUGACACUGAGGCGCGAAAGCGUGGGGAGCAAACAGGAUUAGAUACCCUGGUAGUCCACGCCGUAAACGAUGAGUGCUAAGUGUUAGAGGGUUUCCGCCCUUUAGUGCUGAAGUUAACGCAUUAAGCACUCCGCCUGGGGAGUACGGCCGCAAGGCUGAAACUCAAAGGAAUUGACGGA
rnacentral:rRNA from 1 species